rnacentral:tRNA from 2 species
UGGGGCAUGGUGCAAUGGCAGCACAGCAGACUUUGGAUCUGCUUAUUCUGGUUCGAGCCCGGAUGCCCCAGCUA